UGCUACCUACGGGGCGCAGCAGUGAGGAAUAUUGGUCAAUGGACGAGAGUCUGAACCAGCCAAGUAGCGUGAAGGAUGACUGCCCUAUGGGUUGUAAACUUCUUUUAUAUGGGAAUAAAACGUUCCACGUGUGGGAUUUUGUAUGUACCAUAUGAAUAAGGAUCGGCUAACUCCGUGCCAGCAGCCGCGGUAAUACGGAGGAUCCGAGCGUUAUCCGGAUUUAUUGGGUUUAAAGGGUGCGCAGGCGGAUUUUUAAGUCAGCGGUCAAAUCGUGGGGCUCAACCUCAUCCAGCCGUUGAAACUGG
rnacentral:rRNA from 1 species